GGGUUGUGAGGUUAAGCAACUAAGCGUACACGGUGGAUGCCCUGGCAGUCAGAGGCGAUGAAGGACGUGCUAAUCUGCGAUAAGCGUCGGUAAGGUGAUAUGAACCGUUAUAACCG
rnacentral:rRNA from 1 species